rnacentral:rRNA from 1 species
GUAGGUGGCAAGCGUUGUCCGGAAUUAUUGGGCGUAAAGCGCGCGCAGGCGGUUCUUUAAGUCUGAUGUGAAAGCCCACGGCUCAACCGUGGAGGGUCAUUGGAAACUGGAGAACUUGAGUACAGAAGAGGAAAGCGGAGUUCCACGUGUAGCGGUGAAAUGCGUAGAGAUGUGGAGGAACACCAGUGGCGAAGGCGGCUUUCUGGUCUGUAACUGACGCUGAGGCGCGAAAGCGUGGGGGAGCAAACAGGAUUAGAUACCCUGGUAGUCCACGCCGUAAACGAUGAGUGCUAAGUGUUAGGGGGUUUUCCGCCCCUUAGUGCUGCAGCUAACGCAUUAAGCACUCCGCCCUGGGAGUACGGCCGCAAGGCUG